rnacentral:rRNA from 1 species
GUCAUAAUAUCUGGAAUGAUUUAUGGCUAAAAUCUACAUGGCCCCUGGAUUGGACUGCGGCCGAUCAGGCUGUUGGUGAGGUAAUGGCCCACCAAACCUAAAACCGGUACGGGCUCUGAGAGGAGAAGCCCGGAGAUGGGCACUGAGACAAGGGCCCAGGCCCUAUGGGGCGCAGCAGGCGCGAAAACUCUGCAAUAAGCGAAAGCUUGACAGGGUUAUUCUGAGUGAUUUCCGCUAAGGAAAUCUUUUGGCGCCUCUAAAAAUGGUGCAGAAUAAGGGGUGGGCAAGCCUGGUGUCAGCCGCCGCGGUAAUACCAGCACCCCGAGUGGUCGGGACGAUUAUUGGGCCUAAAGCAUCCGUAGCCGGUUCUACGAGUCUUCCGUUAAAUCCAUCUGCUUAACAGAUGGGCUGCGGAGGAUACUAUGGAGCUAGGAGGCGGGAGAGGCAAGCGGUACUUAGUGGGUAGGGGUAAAAUCCGUUGAUCCACUGAAGACCACCAGUGGCGAAGGCGGCUUGCCAGAACGCGCUCGACGGUGAGGGAUGAAAGCUGGGGGAGCAAACCGGAUUAGGUACCCGGGUAGUCCCAGCUGUAAACGAUGUAGACUCGGUGAUGAAUAGGCUUCGUGCCUUUUCAGUGCCG